UCUGUCAGCGGCAACUCGCGCGGCCGCAGGCUCGUCCGCUGCAGGAGCCGUGAUAUAUGUCUCGCUCCCUUUCGCUCACAGAAAGGAUUUCUUCCGACAGACGUGACCCCAGAAGGCUGCCGAGGGAGACUUUAACUAGGACAAGAGGAGUUGCUUUUGUGAGAAUGCAAUUUUAUACUUUUCCCCGCCCCCAGGUAAAUCCAAGUAAAUGAUUUUCUGAAGGUCGGUCUCCCAGAAAGCGUUUAGGCUCUGGUUUUUUGUUUUGUUUUUAUUUUCGUGUUUUCCCAGUUAGGGGAGGGAGAGGAGCCUGUGUAGAGUUGAACUGGGGUGGGGAGGUGCCUUGUAAAGUAUGGUUUCCAGAGAUGGUGAGACCUCGUAGCUAAGCGUUGUUUCCUCUGCACGUAACUGUGAGCUGUGAACUUGUGGCUCCUGGGGGAGCGGGGACAGGGCCUGACAGUGCGGGGGAGGGGGCGAGGAAUUCAGGAAGUUGGCGAGAAUUCUUCUUUUUUCAUUCUUCGUUGUAAAUUGCUUCUAAACACUUCUGAAUUUUAAAUUGCUACCGAGAAGGUCCAGAAACCGUUCUCGUCCAAUUUAGUCACUUUUAUUACAUUCCACUUUGCCUCCCCCAAUCACUGCGGCGGCUCCCAGUUUCAGUGUGGCCGCAUUUUGAAAAGGCUGAAGGUAGAAAACUCUGGAAUGGAGAGGCUGGCGACUGGAGCAGGAUCCAGGGGCUUUAAAUUUUAACCUGAGUGCGAUCGAAUGCGCGACUCUCAGAAGAGAUAGCCAGGCGUCCGCCCGGCCGCUCAACCCCCGCCAGGACUCGGAAUGCCUUGCUUUUGGUUCUUUUCUACAAGGAUGUCUGCGUGGAUAUCCCUGGACACUCGAUACCCCCCGGGGACCUGCUUUUCCCGCAGCUCCGCAGACGCGGCGGGAGGGAGCGCUGGCCCCGGCGCUGCUGGGACAGAGGUGAGCGGCGGGGUGGACAUUGACCGAUUCGACAACGUUCGGGCUCUAAGGGCUCGGGAAGGGACCCGGCAUUUUACCCUCCAGAUUCCCAAUCUAUUUUUUAAAAUAAUGUUCAAAACAUAUGGGAAAAAUAAGUGAUUGCUCCUUUUCAUGGUCACAGAUUGUAUUUAUUUUUUCAGACUGGUUUUCCAACCUAACGAGGGAAUGGGUAGUGAAUGUUGUUGUUGUUGUUGUUUAUGUUGGUUAAUUUCAAAAUAAAACUGUUUAACUCGUACAGUUGA